CGGUUGUGUAUGCGAAUGUUAGUGUUUUAGUGAGGAUUUUCUUGCCACUGAAGGGAAAUGCACCAAAAAUGGAGCUAAGGUAAUCGGAACCAGAACCAUUGAAAAAUGGACGGAAAUUUGGUAAAGGUCUGGUAACAUCAGAACCAUUGAAAAAUUCAGACACAAGUGGACGGAAAUUCGGUGAGAUGCUUGUAAUUUUUUGCUAGAAAAAUAGUCAUUUGACUCUAAAAUAACAACCCUUUCUCCUUUUAAGUAAAAGUCGGACGCCAGAACCAUUGAGAAAUUCAGACAAGUGGAUGAAAUUCAAUGAGAAGCCUAUUAUUUUACUUGUUUGAAAAAUAGUUCAUUCUGAGUGUAAAAUAACGACUUUUCUCCUUUUAGAUAAACGAUCUGGGACCAGAACCAUUGAAAAAUUGAGACAAAUGGACAGAAAUUCGGUGAGAAGUCUGUAAUUUUUUGCUUCAAAAAUAUAGUCCAUUAUUGAGUGUAAAAUAACGACUUUCUCCUUUUAGGUAAUCGGUCUGGUACCAGAACCAUUGAAAAAUUCAGACACAAGUAGACGGAAGUUCAGUAAGAAACGUUUAAUUUAUUACUUUAAAAUAGUCAUUUGACUGUAAAAUAACAACCCUUUCUCCUUUUAAGUAAAAGUCGGACGCCAGAACCAUUGAGAAAUUCAGACAAGUGGAUGGAAAUUCAAUGAAAAGCAUAUUAUUUUACUUGUUUGAAAAAUAGUUCAUUUUGAGUGUAAAAUAACAACCCUUUCUCCUUUUAAGUAAGUAAAUAA